UAGCGUGAAGUGUUGGAGUGUUGCAGAACUGCGAAUGAGACGAUACACAAAUUCGUUAGAAGAGAAGUUUGAAUUUGAAUUGAUUAUUGACUAUGAUGGUUCAUUUAGGAGUUCUGGUGAAGAGGACAAUGUCUUUACUUUUGUAACAUGGAUGGAGUCGACGUCAUACACAGAUGUUGAGACUGAAACUGGUGUAGAUGAAGAAGUACCCUUUGUAUCAAGUGCAUUUGAUGAAGUGCUCAUAAGUAAUCCACGUGAUAAAGAAGGAAUCGCUUCUGUAGAGAUGCUAGCAAUACGAAAGCAACCAGCUGCACAGGGCUCUAAUAUGACAUUACCAAUUUAUAUCAUUAUUACAUAUUUUUAUUUAUCUUUACUUAGCUAUCUAUUUGUCGUCGUGAACAUGAAACCGUUGUUCUCAUCGUCGGGUGAUUUGAGUAUUUUUACUCAUUCGGGUAAGAAUUUGUCAUUAUUAGAAAUCCUAUGAGUUAAUCAUACUUUUUUGAAAAUUCAUAGGUAAUAGAAUAACAUUGUCCGAUGUCCCUGCUGCAGUUCCCGCUGACGUCGAUGUUGGAGUAAAUCCAAAUAACGAAUCCAUAAUCGCACCAACAACCGAAGAAUCAAAUGAAUGUAGUGGCGAUACAUUCGAAGAUGCACUUGGCGUUACUCCUGAAGAUUGGAGUUUCCCCGUUUCAAAUCGAGUUUCAUCAAACAUCUCGGAAGUUGGCGCUGCUACGGUGCGCUCAAAUGAACAUGCUGACUUGUGUUAUCCUGCUGGUCCAAGCUCUGCUAUAUGUGAUCCUGUAUCGGUUAAAAAGUUAGAUUUGCCACUGGUUGAACCUUUAAACAGAGAUGGAACCGACAUAAACGCAGCAUUGAUAACUCUGGCUUCUUCCGCGUUAAAUCUGGCUGAUUCUCGGUCCUCUCAGUUUAUGUUCAUGGAGUUGCAUCGUGAAUUGGAUGACAUUCUCCGAAAAUUAUCAACGAUUGAAGCAAUGAAGCUCGGAGUUAGCAUUUUGGAACAAGCGAAUGAAAUUUUGGAAAAGAAUCGAAGCCAACAAAAGUAGAUUAGCCUCAUUGUUUCUAUGCUCAAUUAUUUUUACAUU